CGGAUGGGUCGCGGCUGAAGCGGGUCUGCAGUAGAUAGUCUCCGGGACCGGGGCUGGGAGAGAUCCCUCGCCCCCCAACCCUGGCGCGGGGAGCCGGGAGGAGGCUCAGCUGCCUGCGGGCGACGACCGCAAGUUCCAAUCGAGCACUGGAAUUUGGGAUCACCUGAUGUCUGAAGGUGCCGGCGGGGGAGGAGAUGCAGUGACAUCCACAUCAAGCAAACACGCAGACUACGAUGUCUGAGCUCCUGAUACAGUGCGGGGAUUACCAACUGUUCCAGUUGUCAAACUUCUACCGGAAGAGACUGAAACCUGUGAUUGAAGAAGGAGUUGAAGGGCUCCGCUUGAUGUUGAGAGAUGAGCAACAUUUCAGUGGACAGGAACAUGAGCACAUCCACAUCCUCCCGAUAAGGGGGCGACCAGAAUUGAAUGCAAUGAUCGAGAUGCGGCUUCAGCAGAGUUUUAAAAAUCUGCAACAUAACUUCCUGAUUCCUGAAAAUGCC